rnacentral:rRNA from 1 species
AUUGAACGCUGGCGGCAUGCCUUACACAUGCAAGUCGAACGGUAACAGGUCUUCGGGUGCUGACGAGUGGCGCACGGGUGAGUAAUACAUCGGAACGUGCCCAGACGUGGGGGAUAACGAGGCGAAAGCUUUGCUAAUACCGCAUACGAUCUAAGGAUGAAAGCAGGGGACCGCAAGGCCUUGCGCGUUUGGAGCGGCCGAUGGCAGAUUAGGUAGUUGGUGGGAUAAAAGCUUACCAAGCCGACGAUCUGUAGCUGGUCUGAGAGGACGACCAGCCACACUGGGACUGAGACACGGCCCAGACUCCUACGGGAGGCAGCAGUGGGGAAUUUUGGACAAUGGGCGAAAGCCUGAUCCAGCAAUGCCGCGUGCAGGAUGAAGGCCUUCGGGUUGUAAACUGCUUUUGUACGGAACGAAAAGGCUCUGGCUAAUACCUGGGGCACAUGACGGUACCGGAAGAAUAAGCACCGGCUAACUACGUG